UUGAAACUCAAAGGAANNGNCGGGGGCCCGCNCAAGCGGUGGAGCAUGUGGUUUAAUUNGAAGCAACGCGAAGAACCUUACCAGGUCNNGNCAUCCCUCUGACCGCUCUAGAGAUAGAGUUUUCCUUCGGGACAGAGGNGACAGGCGGUGCAUGGUUGUCGUCAGCUCGUGUCGUGAGAUGUUGGGUUAAGUCCCGCAACGAGCGCAACCCNUNUUNUUAGUUGCCAUCAUUCAGUUGGGCACUCUAGCGAGACUGCCGGUAAUAAACCGGAGGAAGGUGGGGAUGACGUCAAAUCAUCAUGCCCCUUAUGACCUGGGCUACACACGUGCUACAAUGGCUGGUACAACGAGUCGCAAGCCGGNGACGGCAAGCUAAU
rnacentral:rRNA from 1 species